CCUCGUCAGGCAUUGUUCUUUCCAUUCGCAUAUCUAAUAUAUAUUGAAAUUCAUUUUCUAUAAUAUUUCUUAGCAUGUAUUUUUCGUUCAAUUUAAAUUAGCCGAAUGUUUGCUAUAUUUUCAAUUAGAUACUUUUUAAGCGAAAUCAAUGUCAGCCGCAAACACAUAGCUGCUAUAUGUAUUCAUCUAUUUCAGCGCUAUGAAAAAGUAUCUUUUGGAUUGCAACCUUGAGAUGCACAGGAAGUUUCUGCAGUGGCUAUAUGUUAUUUAUAGAAGUCUAGCAUCAAGUGACUGCUCUUCUUUAUUACACAUUGCACACAGUGUGUAUCUCAGCCAAGAGGGGGGAGCACAAGUCACAAGUCGUUUAUGUAUGUAUCUUGUGUGUCGUUUGCUGCAAGUGUGUGUAUUAUUCGACAGGAAGUCAGGCGCAGCCGCCGUUGCAGGCAGCCUGCGAUGGAUAGGAUAGGAAAAUGCAAGGCGGCAGUCUGGCAAACGUGGCAAACAUGGAUGCAAGGCAGGGCGUGUGACAAAACAAUAAAAACAACGUAAUGAAAAACCGAAGCGCGCAUAACUAAAAUAGCAGAAGUUAAAAAUAAAAAAAACGCGCACACGCUCAUCUGAUGACAGACAAAGGGCAGAAACCAGGCAGAUUGCAUGUGGAUGUAUAUGUGGAAAAUGGUAGCGCACGCGCGUGGUUCCAUCAACUUACAUAUAUGUAUGUAUAUGUACAUAAAGCUGAUCAUAUGGCUGGCGUGGGCAGCUGAAAAAUACAGAAGAGCAAAAGAACUUUGCACAAACGCUGACAGCACGAGGCACAAUAUUUGGGCAGCUGCCGCGGGGUAAAGGGCAACAAUGUAAUGUAAUAUGCCAAAAAAAAAGAAGGAAAGAAAAAAAAAUGAUGCGCAUUUAUAGUUGAUUGAACAAGUAUCAAACGAUCGACUGACCACUGACGAGAAUGACCAUAUGCUGUGUGCCCGAAAAGAUACGCAGAUACAUCACCUCACAUCACGGGCAACCACUAGAAAGCAUCUCAUUUGAUUUUCCCCUGCAUCGCGUAUCACAUUACAUACGUUAAUAGAGUCCAUUUGUGUGUUGGGUCGUGGUUCUCGAUUCAAAAAGAGUGCAGCCAGGAGAGGGUAGAGAGCGGAGAGCAACCACCAGAGUGGGAAAGGUCACCACACCCUGGCUCAUAACUCAUCUGAACCCAAGUCAAGCGGUCCAACUCUCUCAAGACCUUCUAUUGUUAGAGAGCUGCAUUAAAAACGGCAGAAGAAAAACACAAUAAAAGCAGGAAAAAUCUAAGACAAUAAAAGAGGCAAUAAAAAGGCAAAAAAUGUUGGAAAAAAACGAAAUAAGUAAAAUAAAAACCAGUUGGAAAAGCCGCCACACCACGAUCUAAAUGUCUAUCAAUUAUGCUGGUCUCCAGCAACGCUCUCGCUCUCUCUCUCUGUCUCUCUCUCGCUUCCCCUCUCUCUGUAUUGUUUAGCAUUUUCCAGUCGGCUGGUUUUUCCUUCAUCGCUGUCGUCGUCGUGACAAUUGUCGCUUGGCUUUCGCGUUCUGCGAUCGCGUUUCUCAACCAGUUUGGGUGUGUGAAAAGUAACGGACUGCUCUGAGAUUUCUGCAAGUGGGUCAAUCGUAAGCAUGUUGUACUACGUGUUGCAAGUCUAGCGUGCCGUGCCACACAUGCUACGCCGAAAGGCUAAACGUGAACAGGGCAACUACUGACCCACUCGCUGUUUCGAGUGUUGCAUGCAUGCGAUGUGCUCGUAAAGCAGCCACAUUGAUUUAUGCAACUGCCCCAGACACAUGCGCCAUGCACACACGCUCUACUACUUUAUAGAGAUACUAUAUCAUCUUCAAGGUGUUGUCAACACACACAUAAGCAGACAGAUUUUCCCUGGGCCAGGCGCAACCCUUUCCGUCAGUGAAUUAUGAGCUGGACAUUGGUCAUUUGAAACCGGACAGCUGGUGGGCCAAAUUUGGCCGAGUCGCGACUGUUUUCUUUUACUUUUUUUCCCUCGAGAGGCAUCAACACCUUUGCCUAAUUGCGGCGACUCCAGCUGUUAUCUAUGCGCUUAGAACUGGACACUUCGCGGCCGCGGCGAGUCUGCAAAAUGCAAUCGGAGGCGCGUGAGAUUUAUUAGCUCCCCGAACUCAGACUCAACUAUUACAAUUAAGUUUAUAUCCCAAGAAAAAAAAGAGACACAGACAACGCAUUUGUCUGCCCGAAAGUAAUGAUAAAUGAGGCAAAUUAGUAACACUG